AAAGCUCGUAGUUGAAUUUCGGGAUUGACGCGACGGUCGUGCCUUAAGGGGCGUGAACUGUCGCCGUUGAUUUCUCACCUUCUGGAGAAGCUCGAUGUCCUUAAUUGGAUGUCUUGUGGAACCAGGACCUUUACCUUGAAAAAAUUAGAGUGUUUAAAGCAGGCAUUUUGCUCGAAUACAUUAGCAUGGAAUAAUAGAAUAGGACGGCAUGGUUCUAUUUUGUUGGUUUCUAGGAUCACCGUAAUGAUUAAUAGGGAUAGUUGGGGGCAUUAGUAUUCAAUUGUCAGAGGUGAAAUUCUUGGAUUUAUUGAAGACUAACUACUGCGAAAGCAUUUGCCAAGGAUGUUUUCAUUAAUCAAGAACGAAAGUUAGGGGAUCGAAGACGAUCAGAUACCGUCGUAGUCUUAACCAUAAACUAUGCCGACUAGGAAUCAGACGAUGUUAAUUUUUUAAUGACUCGUUCGGCACCUUA
rnacentral:rRNA from 1 species